UUCACGGUAUUGCAAUGAGAACAAUUUAAAACCCUUAGCGAGAAUCAAGUGGAGGACAAGUCUGGUGCCAGCACCCGCGGUAAUUCCAGCUCCACUAGCGUAUAUUAAAGUUGUUGCAGUUAAAAAGCUCGUAGUUGAACCUCUGUCUGGGGCUAGUUUUGGCUUUGGUCAGGCUAGUUCUAGGCAUCCGCCUACAAGACUUAGAGGGCAUUCAGUUGUUCACUAGGAGGAGUAGGCAUUUUACUUUGAAAAAAUUAGAGUGUUUAAGGCAGGCAAUCGCCCGCAUAUAUUAGCAUGGAAUAAUAGAAUAGGACACUUUUCCAUUUCGUUGGUUAUUGGAAUCGUGUAAUGAUUAAUAGGGACAGUUGUGGGCAUUUGUAUUUAAUUGUCAGAGGUGAAAUUCUUGGAUUUAUUAAAGACAAACUAACGCGAAAGCAUUUGCCAAGGAUGUUUUCAUUAAUCAAGAACGAAAGUUAGGGGAUCAAAGACGAUCAGAUACCGUCCUAGUCUUAACUAUAAACUAUUCCGACUCAAUGUUUGACUGGCUUAUAUAACCAGUUGAGCGUUGUAUGAGAAAUCAAAGUCUUUAGGUUCUGGGGGGAGUAUGGUUGCAAAGCUGAAACUUAAAGGAAUUGACGGAAGAGCACAACCAGGAGUGGAUUCUGCGGCUUAAUUUGACUCAACACGGGGAAACUUACCAGGUUAAAACAAUAGUGGGAUUGACAGUUUGAGAGCGCUUUCUUGAUUGGUUGGGUGGUGGUGCAUGGCCGUUCUUAGUUGGUGGAGUGAUUUGUCUGCUUAAUUGCGUUAAUGAGCGAGACCUUAACCUGCUUACUAGACUGGCGAUCAUCAAUCGUUAGCUCUUCUUAGAGGGACUUUGGUUGUUUUAACUCCAAGGAAGUUUGAGGCAAUAACAGGUCUGUGAUGCCCUUAGAUAUCCUGGGCCGCACGCGUCAUACAAUGACUAGUUCAGAAAGUUUUCUCCUGACCCGAAAGGGGAUGGGUAAUCUUGAUAAUACUAGUCGUGUUAGGGAUCGAUCUUUGCAAUUAUAGAUCUUGAACGAGGAAUUCCUAGUAAGUGCGGUUCAUCAGACCGUACUGAUUACGUCCCUGCUCUUUGUACACACCGCCCGUCGCUUCUACCGAGUGGGUGGUCCGGUGAGAUAAUUGAACUUCGCAGGUAACUGAGAGGAAAGAUUAUCAAACCUAUCCACCU
rnacentral:rRNA from 1 species